rnacentral:rRNA from 1 species
AAAUUUAACUCCAACCCCUGUGNACAUACCUUACUGUUGCCUCGGCGGAUCAGCCCGCUCCCGGUAAAACGGGACGGCCCGCCAGAGGACCCCUAAACUCUGUUUCUAUAUGUAACUUCUGAGUAAAACCAUAAAUAAAUCAAAACUUUCAACAACGGAUCUCUUGGUUCUGGCAUCGAUGAAGAACGCAACAAAAUGCGAUAAGUAAUGUGAAUUGCAAAAUUCAGUGAAUCAUCGAAUCUUUGAACGCACAUUGCGCCCGCCAGUAUUCUGGCGGGCAUGCCUGUUCGAGCGUCAUUUCAACCCUCAAGCCCUCGGGUUUGGUGUUGGGGAUCGGCGAGCCUUUCUGGCAAGCCGGCCCCGAAAUCUAAUGGCGGUCUCGCUGCAGCCUCCAUUGCGUAUCAGUAAAACCCUCGCAACUGGAACGCGGCGCGGCCAAGCCGUUAAACCCCCAACUUCUGAAUGUUGACCUCGGAUCAGGUAGGAAUACCCGCUGAACUUAAGCAUAUCAAUAAGCGGAGGGAAA